UUAGAAGAAAUAUUUACAUACAACAAGGACGAGUCAAGCAAUGAAAAGACUUUGAAUAAGAGAUGGGAAGUCACUGGAACCGAUGGAGAAACAACCUUGCCUACUUUUGGUCGUCGAAUGGUGUAUAAGAGAAUAGUUUCAGCAAAGGGCUCUUUGUCAAUCGACACUUCAGGAGUCAGCGUUGCAGGGCAAGUCAGAGUUGGUCCUGCCCGAAUUUCAGUCGGCAGACGCAUUAGAUGGGGGCGAAAUAUUUCUCUGCUUUCCUAACGAUUUACAGCAAAAAAAUAAAUUUUUAAAAAAAGUUGA
rnacentral:sRNA from 1 species